rnacentral:rRNA from 1 species
CCUACGGGAGGCAGCAGUGGGGAAUAUUGGACAAUGGGCGGAAGCCUGAUCCAGCAACGCCGCGUGAGGGAUGACGGCCUUCGGGUUGUAAACCUCUUUCAGCACAGACGAAGCGAAAGUGACGGUAUGUGCAGAAGAAGGACCGGCCAACUACGUGCCAGCAGCCGCGGUAAU